rnacentral:tRNA from 2 species
GGAGGGAUGGCCGAGUGGUUUAAGGCACUAGUCUUGAAAACUAGCGAGGAUGCAAGUCCUCCGUGGGUUCGAAUCCCACUCCCUCCGCCA